rnacentral:tRNA from 1 species
AUUUUCUUAAUAUAAACAGUAUAAAUGACUUCCAAUCAUUAAGUCUUGGUGAAACCCCAAGAGAAAGUA